GGAUAACACUGACGUUCAUGCCCGAAAGCGUGGGUAGCAAACAGGAUUAGAUACCCUGGUAGUCCACGCCCUAAACGAUGUCGAUUAGCUGUUGGGCAGCUUGACUGCUUAGUAGCGAAGCUAACGCGUGAAAUCGACCGCCUGGGGAGUACGGUCGCAAGAUUAAAACUCAAAGGAAUUGACGGGGACCCGCACAAGCGGUGGAUGAUGUGGAUUAAUUCGAUGCAACGCGAAGAACCUUACCUGGUCUUGACAUGUACGGAACCCUCCAGAGACGGAGGGGUGCCUUCGGGAGCCGUAACACAGGUGCUGCAUGGCUGUCGUCAGCUCGUGUCGUGAGAUGUUGGGUUAAGUCCCGCAACGAGCGCAACCCUUGUCAUUAGUUGCCAUCAUUAAGUUGGGCACUCUAAUGAGACUGCCGGUGACAAGCCGGAGGAAGGUGGGGAUGACGUCAAGUCCUCAUGGCCCUUAUGACCAGGGCUUCACACGUCAUACAAUGGUCGGUACAGAGGGUAGCCAAGCCGCGAGGUGGAGCCAAUCUCACAAAACCGAUCGUAGUCCGGAUUGCACUCUGCAACUCGAGUGCAUGAAGUCGGAAUCGCUAGUAAUCGCAGGUCAGCAUACUGCGGUGAAUACGUUCCCGGGUCUUGUACACACCGCCCGUCACACCAUGGGAGUGGGGGAUACCAGAAGUAGGUAGGGUAACCGCAAGGAGCCCGCUUACCACGGUAUGCUUCAUGACUGGGGUGAAGUCGUAACAAGGUAGCCGUAGGGGAACC
rnacentral:rRNA from 1 species